rnacentral:lncRNA from 1 species
AGCAGUUUUUAAAUUAAUUCCUUAUAGUAGAUCCUUAAUUAUUUUUUCUAAAUAAAAAAAUAAAAAAGAAGAAUCGUCAUAAAAUGGUACAGUCACAACAUUCAUGCGUGUAAUAAAGACAAUUAAUGAGACAUUUAUCGCAUUUAUUAUCUUUCGACGACUGGCUUCCAGAAUCGAUAUCGAAUUCGACUUUCUUGUAACUCCUUUGGUUUUCCCAAUAUGAAAGAGUCGGUAACGAAGAGGACGGCAUUAGCGACGUAGUAGCCAUCUUUGUUUCGUACUGAACUUCACUGGGUUCCUCGUGUUCGGUCCUCUUGAUCUCAGCCAUUUGCGUCGAAUUGUUUGGCGAUGAUACUCUGAUGAUAUAAAUCCAAAAUUUAUCUA